AGUGAACGCUGGCGGUAGGCCUAACACAUGCAAGUCGAACGGCAGCACAGUAAGAGCUUGCUCUUACGGGUGGCGAGUGGCGGACGGGUGAGGAAUACAUCGGAAUCUACUUUUUCGUGGGGGAUAACGUAGGGAAACUUACGCUAAUACCGCAUACGACCUACGGGUGAAAGCAGGGGAUCUUCGGACCUUGCGCGAUUGAAUGCGCCGAUGUCGGAUUAGCUAGUUGGCGGGGUAAAGGCCCACCAAGGCGACGAUCCGUAGCUGGUCUGAGAGGAUGAUCAGCCACACUGGAACGGAGACACGGUCCAGACUCCUACGGGAGGCAGCAGUGGGGAAUAUUGGACAAUGGGCGCAAGCCUGAUCCAGCCAUACCGCGUGGGUGAAGAAGGCCUUCGGGUUGUAAAGCCCUUUUGUUGGGAAAGAAAAGCAGCAGGUUAAUACCCCGCUGUUCUGACGGUACCCAAAGAAUAAGCACCGGCUAACUUCGUG
rnacentral:rRNA from 1 species